AUGUUUGGGCCCCCAGGCCCCCCAGGUCCCCCUGGACCUCAGGGACACAAGGGAGAGCAGGGUAACUCUGAGUACGGCCACGCCUUUGACCACAGGACCAGCGAGGGAAGAAGGCUGCCUGAGACUGAGACAGACUUCUCCAAUAUAGCGGUCCGAGUGACUGACUACAUCAAGUACCAUGGUCUGUUGAGGGACGUGGUUGAGAACCGGUCUCAGCUGGAGAAGUCACAGGUUGUUCAAGGACCCCCAGGACCCCCUGGCCCUCCCGGUGCUCCAGGAUUCAGCCGUGUGUUUGGUUCCCAUAGUAACGUCACUGACCUUAUGGAAUACAUCAGAGCCCAUGGAAACACUGUGGGACCCCCUGGAAGGCCAGGACAGAAAGGGGACAUAGGACAUACAGGUCAUAAAGGCGAGAGAGGACUGGAUGGCAUCCCAGGAAGGGCAGGCCUCCCUGGUCUGGAGUGGAAAAGGGGGGGAAAGGGGGAGGAAGGAGAAUACACACUUGUGACCAACAGAAGAAAGAGGAACGUUGGCGUUUUGAGAAACAAAUGA
rnacentral:lncRNA from 13 species